GACGAACGCUGGCGGCGUGCCUAAUACAUGCAAGUCGAACGAGAGCGACCGGUGCUUGCACUGUUCAAUCUAGUGGCGAACGGGUGAGUAACGCGUGGGUAACCUGCCCAUCAGAGGGGGAUAACAUCCGGAAACGGAUGCUUAAACCGCAUAGGUCUUCGAACCGCGUGGUUUGAAGAGGAAAAGAGGCGCAAGCUUCUGCUGAUGCAUGGAACCGCGGUGCAUGAGCUGGUUGGUGAGGUAACGGCUCACCAAGGCCGUGAUGCAGAGCCGACCUGAGGGGCUGAUCGGCCACAUGGGGACUGAGACACGGCCAAAGCUCCUACGGGAGGCAGCAGUAGGGAAUCGUCCGCAACGGACGCAAGUCUGACGCAGCAACGCCGCGUGAGUGAAGAAGGCUUUCGGAUCGUAAAACUCUGUUGUUAGAGAAGAACAAGUGCUAGCGUAACUGUUAGCGCCUUGACGGUAUCUAACCAGAAAGCCACGGCUAACUACGUG
rnacentral:rRNA from 1 species